rnacentral:rRNA from 1 species
AAAUUAGAGUGUUCAAAGCAGGCCCGAGCCGCCUGGAUACCGCAGCUAGGAAUAAUGGAAUAGGACCGCGGUUCUAUUUUGUUGGUUUUCGGAACUGAGGCCAUGAUUAAGAGGGACGGCCGGGGGCAUUCGUAUUGCGCCGCUAGAGGUGAAAUUCUUGGACCGGCGCAAGACGGACCAGAGCGAAAGCAUUUGCCAAGAAUGUUUUCAUUAAUCAAGAACGAAAGU